UUGCAAUUUGAUGUUUUGAUUCAAAUGCUAUGUGUAAAUCAAUCCUGUUUUGUGUGUGAAUGAGGAAUGUGUGUGUUAGAAGAUAAGCGUGAAGGACAUCACUGGAACAGAUGGUCUAGGGAGGAACCAAGGACAGAUGUAUGGGUGCCAGAAGAUUUCAAUAGGGGCGUGUUGCAAUGUCAGAGGAGGACAGAUUGACGACUCUAAAAACGAGACAGGCAUCUAUCAAUGGGGACAAUAUAGUUGUGAUCAGAACCAGCCUGGGAUAACUCCCUGAGAGACUUAAUGAAAGAACAAGAUAAAGGAUGAGAAGAACCAUUUAAGAAAACAAGCACUCAAACGACAAUUGAUUACAGCAUGAUGGUGCAAAACUCAUUGGUCCCAAUGAAGGAAAAUCACUAUAUAAAGAGGAUGCCUUCCAUGAAACUUUGUGUUCGUCCUGCCAAGACUUCCCCGGAGCAUUGCGUCGUGAACGACAGAACCUGGUUCCUACCUACCCGUGAUCAACCUAGCUGGCCACUAGAUUGAUCUGGACUUUGGACUGGUGCUGCAUGAACAAAUCAAUUCUCACAACCUUCACCCCUAUGAAGUUGGUACGUAUAAGACAUUUUACACCAACGGAAGGAAGCAAAGAGGAGCAGGCUGGCUGGCGAGACAGACACCAUGACUUCUUUUCCCCCCACAACGAAGAAGUCCUAAAGUCGUCACAGGUUGUGUUACAAAAGUCAUGCCCCAGAUAAAUGGUCUCUUCAUUCUCUAAGGAAAAUAUUUUCUUCUUUCAGUAUUUUUCUUCAACAUGCAAACACACUAAAACCUUUAUUUUUCCUAUUUUGAUUAUAUUUGUUCCAUUUACUUAUAGUCUUCACAUUUUAAAUUUUAACCAUUAUAUUGAAUUCAAAUUCUUAUCUAAUGGCUUGUCUUUGUCACUUGUACAACAAAAACAAAACAAAACUAAAAAUCAAAAACAAAAACACGAGGAUCUUCGCAGUAAACCUAGGAACAAAACCUCUGUCUUUUCUCGUGAAAAGAAACGAUCAUAUGAAUUAACAUUUCUUUAACUUCACCUUUAU